rnacentral:rRNA from 1 species
AUUGAACGCUGGCGGAAUGCUUUACACAUGCAAGUCGAACGGCAGCACGGACUUCGGUCUAGUGGCGAGUGGCGAACGGGUGAGUAAUAUAUCGGAACGUAUCCAAUAAUGGGGGAUAACUAAUCGAAAGGUUGGCUAAUACCGCAUACGUCCUACGGGAGAAAGCUAGGGACCUUCGGGCCUGGCGUUAAUGGAGCGGCCGAUAUCGGAUUAGCUAGUUGGUGAGGUAAAGGCUCACCAAGGCGACAAUCCGUAGCUGGUCUGAGAGGACGACCAGCCACACUGGAACUGAGACACGGUCCAGACUCCUACGGGAGGCAGCAGUGGGGAAUUUUGGACAAUGGGCGAAAGCCUGAUCCAGCCAUUCCGCGUGAGUGAAGAAGGCCUUCGGGUUGUAAAGCUCUUUCGCAAGAGAAGAAAACUUACCCUCUAACAUAGGGUGAGGUUGACGGUAUCUUGAUAAGAAGCACCGGCUAACUACGUGCCAGCAGCCGCCGUAA